rnacentral:rRNA from 1 species
UACGUAGGGCGCAAGCGUUGUCCGGAAUUAUUGGGCGUAAAGAGCUCGUAGGCGGUUUGUCGCGUCUGCUGUGAAAACCUAAGGCUCAACCUUGGGCUUGCAGUGGGUACGGGCAGACUAGAGUGCGGUAGGGGUGACUGGAAUUCCUGGUGUAGCGGUGAAAUGCGCAGAUAUCAGGAGGAACACCGAUGGCGAAGGCAGGUCUCUGGGCCAUAAACUGAC